UACGGAGGAUCCAAGCGUUAUCCGGAUUUAUUGGGUUUAAAGGGUGCGUAGGCGGCAGAUUAAGUUAGAGGUGAAAUUCCGAGGCUCAACCUUGGCACUGCCUCUGAUACUGGUUUGCUAGCGAGUAGAUGCUGUAGGCGGAAUGUGUGGUGUAGCGGUGAAAUGCAUAGAGAUCACACAGAACACCGAUUGCGAAGGCAGCUUACAAAUCUAUAUCGGACGCUGAGGCACGAAAGCGUGGGGAGCAAACAGG
rnacentral:rRNA from 1 species